GACGAACGCUGGCGGCGUGCUUAACACAUGCAAGUCGAACGGAAAGGCCCUGCUUGCAGGCUACUCGAGUUGCGAACGGGCGAGUAACACGUGGGUGAUCUGCCCUCCACUUCGGCAUAAGCCUGGGAAACUGGGUCUAAUACCGAAUAGGACCCAUUUUUAGUGUGAUGGUUCGAAAGUUUUUUCGGUGUAGGAUGAGUUCGCGGCCUAUCAGCUUGUUGGUGGGGUAAUGGGCUACCAAGGCGGCGACGGGUAGCCGGACUGUGAGGGUGGACGGCGAUACUGGGUCCGAGAGGAGGCAGCGGUGGGUAAGGGAGGCAGAAGGGGGGAAGCUUGAACAAGGGGCGCAGGGCUGAUGCAGAGAGGCUGCGUGGGGGAUGACGGUCUUCGGGUUGUAAAAAAGUUUCGCUAGGAACGAAGCUUUUUGUGACGGUACCUAGAGAAGAAGCACCGGCUAACUACGUG
rnacentral:rRNA from 1 species